UUAAAUGAACACUGAGGGUAGUUUUAAAGAUUUUCUUAGGGCAAUUACGACAACUGCACCAACACGACAUUUAUCGAUACAUUCAAAAAUGGACGAUACUCCACAUACAAAUAGGAGAUGGAAAUGUAAUUGUCCCAAAGGAAAUCUUGGCAUAAAGUGGGAUUCAUAUACAAUGGCAACAAGAAAACUGCCAUAUAUCCUCGCUAAGUAUUUGCAAAACAUGGGCAUGCACUAACUAAAACCCAACAACACAAUAGGCACAACUGAUAAUAAAUCUCGUAAGUCUACGCCGGUUACUCCAAGAAAUCUGGGAAGAUCUGGGAAUGUCAGCGGGGCCUUGUACAGUGACAGUGGACGGGAGCAGUUCGUCGAUGACGAUGGAGGAAGAAGGCCCAACGACGAGUCGUAAACGGACUCGCAGUUGCACUUCAGAGUCAUCAGGCCAGAGUGUAAGUGACGAAAGUGAGUUUUUACAUGCGCC